AUCUUUAUAGUACCAACUAGUACAAGUGACUUCCAAUCACCCGGUCUUGGUUAAAGUCCAAGUAAAGAUA
rnacentral:tRNA from 5 species